rnacentral:piRNA from 1 species
UAGAGGACACCGUACUCUGUGCAAUAAGC